AGAGUUUGAUUCUGGCUCAGGAUGAACGCUGGCGGCGUGCCUAACACAUGCAAGUCGAGCGGACCAAUGCCCAUUUCAGCUUUGCUGAUUUGAGCAACGGUUAGCGGCGGACGGGUGAGUAACGCGUGGGCAACCUGCCCUGUGCAGGGGGAUAACACAGCGAAAGCUGUGCUAAUACCCCAUAAGACUACGCUAUCGCAUGAUAGAGUAGUCAAAGCUUUAGCGGCACAGGAUGGGCCCGCGUCUGAUUAGCUAGUUGGUGGGGUAACGGCCUACCAAGGCGACGAUCAGUAGCCGACCUGAGAGGGUGAUCGGCCACACUGGAACUGAGACACGGUCCAGACUCCUACGGGAGGCAGCAGUGGGGAAUAUUGCACAAUGGGGGAAACCCUGAUGCAGCAACGCCGCGUGAGCGAAGAAGGCCUUCGGGUCGUAAAGCUCUGUCCUAAGGGAAGAAGUAUGACGGUACCUUAGGAGGAAGCCCCGGCUAACUACGUGCCAGCAGCCGCGGUAAUACGUAGGGGGCGAGCGUUAUCCGGAAUCACUGGGCGUAAAGGGUGCGUAGGCGGCCGAGUAAGCCAGAGGUGAAAGGCUACGGCUUAACCGUAGUAAGCCUUUGGAACUACUUGGCUUGAGUGCAGGAGAGGAGAGUGGAAUUCCUAGUGUAGCGGUGAAAUGCGUAGAUAUUAGGAGGAACACCAGUGGCGAAGGCGACUCUCUGGACUGUAACUGACGCUGAGGCACGAAAGCGUGGGGAGCAAACAGGAUUAGAU
rnacentral:rRNA from 1 species